UACGGAGGAUGCGAGCGUUAUCCGGAUUUAUUGGGUUUAAAGGAUGCGUAGGCGGAUCGUUAAGUCAGUGGUCAAAUUGAGGGGCUCAACCCCUUCCCGCCAUUGAAACUGGCGAUCUUGAGUGGAAGAGAAGUAUGCGGAAUGCGUGGUGUAGCGGUGAAAUGCAUAGAUAUCACGCAGAACCCCGAUUGCGAAGGCAGCAUGCCGGCUUCCUACUGACGCUGAAGCACGAAAGCGUGGGGAUCGAACAGG
rnacentral:rRNA from 1 species